GAGUUUGAUCCUGGCUCAGAGCGAACGUUAGCGGCGCGCCUAACACAUGCAAGUCGAGCGCGAAAGGGAGCAAUCCUGAGUAAAGCGGCGCACGGGUGCGUAACACGUAGGUAACCUGCCCUAUGGAGGGGGAUAACGUUCCGAAAGGAGCGCUAAUACCGCAUACAGCGUCUGAGGGAAACCUUGGAUGGCAAAGGUUGGGAUUCGCAAGAACCAAUCGCCAUGGGAGGGGCCUGCGGCCCAUCAGUUAGUUGGUGAGGUAAUGGCUCACCAAGACGAAGACGGGUAGCUGGUCUGAGAGGAUGAUCAGCCACACUGGUACUGGAACACGGACCAGACUCCUACGGGAGGCAGCAGUGGGGAAUCUUGGUCAAUGGGCGCAAGCCUGAACCAGCGACGCCGCGUGAGUGAUGAAGGCCUUC
rnacentral:rRNA from 1 species